ACGCUCCGUCAAGAUCCAAGAACGUUUCGCGAGGAACAACUCUACGCACGGUCUGUGAAGAAGUUUGGCCGAGAUCUCAACCCAAAGGCAGAGAUCCGAGAAUCGUCCAAGAAUGGGACCUAAUGUAAAGAUAUUAGUAUUUUUG